rnacentral:rRNA from 1 species
UUGAAGAGUUUGAUCAUGGCUCAGAUUGAACGCUGGCGGCAGGCCUAACACAUGCAAGUCGAACGGUAGCAGGAAGUGCUUGCACUUCGCUGACGAGUGGCGGACGGGUGAGUAAUGCUUGGGAACUUGCCUUUGCGAGGGGGAUAACAGUUGGAAACGACUGCUAAUACCGCAUAAUGUCUUCGGACCAAACGGGGCUUCGGCUCCGGCGCAAAGAGAGGCCCAAGUGAGAUUAGCUAGUUGGUAAGGUAACGGCUUACCAAGGCGACGAUCUCUAGCUGUUCUGAGAGGAAGAUCAGCCACACUGGGACUGAGACACGGCCCAGACUCCUACGGGAGGCAGCAGUGGGGAAUAUUGCACAAUGGGGGAAACCCUGAUGCAGCCAUGCCGCGUGUGUGAAGAAGGCCUUCGGGUUGUAAAGCACUUUCAGUCGUGAGGAAAGGGAUACGGUUAAUACCCGUAUUCUGUGACGUUAGCGACAGAAGAAGCACCGGCUAACUCCGUGCCAGCAGCCGCGGUAA